rnacentral:pre_miRNA from 1 species
AAAGUACUCCCACCGUCCCAAAAUUCUUGUCUUAGAUUUGUCUAGAUACGGAUGUAUCUAGUCACAUUUUAGUAUUAGAUACAUCCGUAUCUAGACAAAUCUAAGACAAGAAAUUUGGGACAGAGGGAGUAGUUG